GGAAACGACUGCUAAUACCCAAUAUGCAGGAAUGUGAAAUAAAUUUUGCCUGAAGAGGAGCUCGCGUCCGAUUAGUUAGUUGGUGAGGUAAGAGCUUACCAAGGCGGCGAUCGGUAGCUGGUCUGAGAGGAUGAGCAGCCACACUGGGACUGAGACACGGCCCAGACUCCUACGGGAGGCAGCAGUGGGGAAUUUUCCGCAAUGGGCGAAAGCCUGACGGAGCAAUACCGCGUGAGGGAGGAAGGCUUUUGGGUUGUAAACCUCUUUUUUUAAGGAAGAAGAAAGUGACGGUACUUAAAGAAUCAGCAUCGGCUAACUCCGUGCCAGCAGCCGCGGUAAUACGGAGGAUGCAAGCGUUAUCCGGAAUCAUUGGGCGUAAAGCGUCCGCAGGUGGCGAUUCAAGUCUGCUGUUAAAGACAGAAGCUUAACUUCUGAAAAGCGGUGGAAACUGGAUAGCUAGAGUACGGUAGGGGUUGAGGGAAUUCCCAGUGUAGCGGUGAAAUGCGUAGAUAUUGGGAAGAACACCAGUGGCGAAGGCGCUCAACUGGGCCGUAACUGACACUCAGGGACGAAAGCU
rnacentral:rRNA from 1 species